AACGAACGCUGGCGGCAUGCCUAACACAUGCAAGUCGAACGAGACCUUCGGGUCUAGUGGCGCACGGGUGCGUAACGCGUGGGAACCUGCCCUUAGGUUCGGAAUAACUCCCCGAAAGGGGUGCUAAUACCGGAUAAUGUCUUCGGACCAAAGAUUUAUCGCCUUUGGAUGGGCCCGCGUUGGAUUAGCUAGUUGGUAGGGUAAAAGCCUACCAAGGCGACGAUCCAUAGCUGGUCUGAGAGGAUGAUCAGCCACACUGGGACUGAGACACGGCCCAGACUCCUACGGGAGGCAGCAGUGGGGAAUAUUGGACAAUGGGCGAAAGCCUGAUCCAGCCAUGCCGCGUGAGUGAUGAAGGCCUUAGGGUUGUAAAGCUCUUUUACCCGGGAUGAUAAUGACAGUACCGUGAGAAUAAGCUCCGGCUAACUCCGUG
rnacentral:rRNA from 1 species